GCUGCUGCUCCUGCAGAGAACUCUGCCUGCUUCCUCCUUCCUUCCUUCCUUGCUUGGGGCCUACUGGAGUUCAGGCUUCAGGGAGGCCUACUCGGAGGCCUCUCUGGAAGCCCCGCCCACCCGCCAAUCAGCUGAGAGGCGGGGAGAGAAGAGCUCUGCAGUUUGCAGGCCUUGCCGAUCCUAGGCCUCGCCGAUCAGCCAGAGCUGGAGACAAGUGGCUGAGGGGCCCUGGGGCUGGGCAGGUGGGAAGUGGGGUGGGGGUGGCAGGAACUGGCGUGGCACCCCCACCUCAGGGGCACCUAGGGCACUGCCCCGCCUGCUCCCCCAGUUCCGCCUAUGCAGACACACAUAUUGCCAGUGAUGAGUCAGUGGUCUGCUGUCACCACAUGUCUGAGAGCCUUGUUACACAGGCUCUCAGCAAAGCUGUGGUGGCCCUGCCAGUCUGAGAUGGAGUUUUCUUUAUUUUAGCAUGCAUGCAUGAAGAGAAGAAGACAGCUCAGUAGAACUGCUCUACUAAGUGAAAUCACAGAAAGCUUGGAGGAGCUAAUUCACCAGUGGUUCCUGAUGUAGUGAACAAUUAUCUGCAACUCAUUUGAUUCAUAGGUAUGUACAUCUGUCAUUUAAACUGCGAAGCCAGGAGGAAGCCAGGUUCACACCACAGCUGAAGAGUCUGCUGCAAGAUCUCCUUUUAUAUUAUGUCUCUCUUCACGAAAAGAGUGGUUGGAAAUGUGACUUUGGAAAUUUAUCGAUCUAACAGAUUCUG